rnacentral:rRNA from 1 species
GACGAACGCUGGCGGCGUGCUUAACACAUGCAAGUCGAACGGAAAGGCCCUGCUUUUGUGGGGUGCUCGAGUGGCGAACGGGUGAGUAACACGUGAGUAACCUGCCCUUGACUUUGGGAUAACUUCAGGAAACUGGGGCUAAUACCGGAUAGGAGCUCCUGCUGCAUGGUGGGGGUUGGAAAGUUUCGGCGGUUGGGGAUGGACUCGCGGCUUAUCAGCUUGUUGGUGGGGUAGUGGCUUACCAAGGCUGUGACGGGUAGCCGGCCUGAGAGGGUGACCGGCCACCUGGGGACUGAGAUACGGCCCAGACUCCUACGGGAGGCAGCAGUGGGGAAUAUUGCACAAUGGGCGGAAGCCUGAUGCAGCAACGCCGCGUGCGGGAUGACGGCCUUCGGGUUGUAAACCGCUUUCGCCUGUGACGAAGCGUGAGUGACGGUAAUGGGUAAAGAAGCACCGGCUAACUACGUG